UCCAACAUGAACCUGCUCUGUACUAAUUCUGCUCUAAAGUAAAUAUGUAAGACAAGAUUCUAUCAUACACACAUAAACAGUUACAUAUACAUAUAUAUACACAGCAAUGAUUAUAUAUGUCUACAUGUGCUUUCAGAAUGAACAAAUGUAUGAAAAGUUAUUAGCAUAGUGCCUAACCAUAGUAGGUGCUAUAUAAAUACUAGUUAUUAUUUUAAUGGUUUAAUUAUGAUGAUGAUGAUUAUGAUUAUUAUUAGUGCCUCUGCCUCAAGUCAUUCCUCCCUAAUCCAGCCUCCAUAAAUUUACCAAAAUGAUGUUCCUAAAACAGGUCUGACCAUGUCACACUACCCUACUCAGUAAACUCCAGUGGCUCCCUCUUACCCUUAAGAUUAGUCAGUAAACAUUUACUAAGUACCUACUUUGUGUCAAACUGAACAAGGCUCUGGAGAUACAAUCUCCUCCCUCAAAAAAUGUACUCUGGUUCCAUUCUACCUUCGAAAUAACUAUCUUGCUGUUCUUCAAACACCCAGAAAAAUACAAAUAACAUGUCCAAACAUUGAAAAUGGCUACAUGGGGCUUAUACCCCAAAGAGAUAUUAAAGAAGGGAAAGGGACCUGUAUGUGCCAAAAUGUUUGUGGCAGCCCUGUUUGUAGUGGCCAGAAAGUGGAAAAUGAAUGGAUGCCUAUCAAUUGGAGAAUGGUUGGGUAAAUUGUUGUAUAUGAAUGUUAUGAAAUAUUAUUGUUCUGUAAGAAAUGACCAGCAGGAUGAAUACAGAGAGGCUUGGAGAGAAUUACAUGAACUGAUGCUAAGUGAAAUGAGCAGAACCAGGAGACACAUCAACACAGCAGCAACAAUACUGUAUGAGGAUGUAUUCUGAUGGAAGUGGAUUUCUUUGACAAAGAGACCUAACUCAGUUUCAAUUAAUCAAUGAUGGACAGAAGCAGCCACACCCAAAGAAAGGACACUCGGAAAUGAAUGUAAACUGUUUGCAUUUUUGUUUUCCUUUUUGGGUUAUUUCUACCUUCUGAAUCCAAUUCUCCCUGUGCAACAAGGGAACAGUUUGGUUCUGCACACAUAUAUUGUAUCUAGAAUACACUGCAACAUAUUUAACAUAUGUAGGAUUGUUUGCCAUCUAGGGGAGGGGGUAGAGGGAAAGAGGGGAAAAAUUGGAACAGAAGUGAGUGCAACGGAUAAUGUUGUAAAAAGUUACCCUGGCAUGGGUUCUGUCAAUAAAAAGUUAUUAUAAUAAAAAAGAAAAAGAAAUUGGAUACAUGACACAUACAUUAAACGAUAAUAUAAAUGGAUUUGAACUGAAAGUUUUCUGGUUACUUAAAAUUAAAUCUUAAAAAAAUCUAAGAUCUUCCUUGUUUUUCCAUUAUAUAUGGAGAAUAUCUACACAGAAAAAAAGAUGUUCAAAAAAAAAAAUCAUCUGCUUGACUAGAGUUUCAAAGAGCAAAUUAACUAAGCAAAUAAUUCCUGACAAUUAUAUUUGUAAGCCCAACACAAUCAACAUUACUCAGGUGCAAAAGGGUUUCUUAUGCUAUUAUUACAUAAAAGAAAAACUAAAUAUUUUAUAACUUAUAUAACUUUAGUAUUACAGUAUGUAUAUAUUUAUUAGAAAAUACACAUAUUAAGAGCGUAUCCCAAC
ensembl:lncRNA